AUUUUAAUCUCCCUGUCCUUGCUGUUUUUGAAUGUUAGUCAUGUUUUGGCUUCUCUCCGUCUUCAGUGGUGUGUAUGUUAGCCAGCAAUAGAACAUGUAAGGCCUUGAACAAUACAAAGUUGAGUGAUUGUCUGUAUAUAUAUGUAGACAUACAAUGUAUAUAGACAUCCAGAGACUUAGUCGCCUGUACUCACUUGAAUGCCUCGUUCCUCAAUAGUUGCUGAAUAUGCUGAUCCCCAUUGUUCUUCAUCUGAUUAAUUUUUUAUGCUGUUUUGAAAUUGAGGAUGCUCUUUUGUCACUGACAAUUCAUAUUUUUUAGACAGCUCUUCAGUAACCAUUUUCUUCUUGGCCACUUCAUGUUUAAAAAAAAAAAAAAUCGCCAUGACAGACUAUGUUUGCUGAAAUUUCACAAAACAUUGUUUUACAAAAGGAACACGUUUAAGAAAAAUAUGCUCAAUCCCGAAGUGAAACAAACCACGAGAAUGGACCUAGUCAUUGUUGAUCAGUUCAAAACUAUAGCUCCAUCAAGAUGUAGAUCCCCAAGGGUUCUCGCUAUUAUACAUAACAAAAUCACACUGUAAAGCAACUUCUUUAUAAUAUUUUACUUGAGGUACUGUAGAUUUGCAGGUUUUUUACUUGAGUGACACUUCAGCUAUUCAUAUAGGCAUUUCAAAACUGAUAGAUAAAUUGAGCUUGUAUAAGCUAAAAGGAGAAUCAGAGAAUGUGAUUAAUUAAUUGUAUACUCCCAACAAAAGCGUGAAAAAAAAACUUCCAGGGGCAACGGUGGGAAUGGAACCCGCAACCGUGGGGUCCACUGCUGAAAGUCUUAACACACUGAUAACUGGGCUACUGCGGUUGCCUUGGAUAUUAUUUCAUGUAAGGAAAAUUCAAUGAAAAACAAACUAA